rnacentral:rRNA from 1 species
CGGCGUCGAGCGGCGGACGGGUGAGUAAUGCCUAGGAAAUUGCCCUGAUGUGGGGGAUAACCAUUGGAAACGAUGGCUAAUACCGCAUGAUGCCUACGGGCCAAAGAGGGGGACCUUCGGGCCUCUCGCGUCAGGAUAUGCCUAGGUGGGAUUAGCUAGUUGGUGAGGUAAGGGCUCACCAAGGCGACGAUCCCUAGCUGGUCUGAGAGGAUGAUCAGCCACACUGGAACUGAGACACGGUCCAGACUCCUACGGGAGGCAGCAGUGGGGAAUAUUGCACAAUGGGCGCAAGCCUGAUGCAGCCAUGCCGCGUGUGUGAAGAAGGCCUUCGGGUUGUAAAGCACUUUCAGUCGUGAGGAAGGUAGUGUAGUUAAUAGCUGCAUUAUUUGACGUUAGCGACAGAAGAAGCACCGGCUAACUCCGUGCCAGCAGCCGCGGUAAUACGGAGGGUGCGAGCGUUAAUCGGAAUUACUGGGCGUAAAGCGCAUGCAGGUGGUGUGUUAAGUCAGAUGUGAAAGCCCGGGGCUCAACCUCGGAAUUGCAUUUGAAACUGGCAGACUAGAGUACUGUAGAGGGGGGUAGAAUUUCAGGUGUAGCGGUGAAAUGCGUAGAGAUCUGAAGGAAUACCGGUGGCGAAGGCGGCCCCCUGGACAGAUACUGACACUCAGAUGCGAAAGCGUGGGGAGCAAACAGGAUUAGAUACCCUGGUAGUCCACGCCGUAAACGAUGUCUACUUGGAGGUUGUGGCCUUGAGCCGUGGCUUUCGGAGCUAACGCGUUAAGUAGACCGCCUGGGGAGUACGGUCGCAAGAUUAAAACUCAAAUGAAUUGACGGGGGCCCGCACAAGCGGUGGAGCAUGUGGUUUAAUUCGAUGCAACGCGAAGAACCUUACCUACUCUUGACAUCCAGAGAACUUUCCAGAGAUGGAUUGGUGCCUUCGGGAACUCUGAGACAGGUGCUGCAUGGCUGUCGUCAGCUCGUGUUGUGAAAUGUUGGGUUAAGUCCCGCAACGAGCGCAACCCUUAUCCUUGUUUGCCAGCGAGUAAUGUCGGGAACUCCAGGGAGACUGCCGGUGAUAAACCGGAGGAAGGAAGGUGGGGACGACGUCAAGUCAUCAUGGCCCUUACGAGUAGGGCUACACACGUGCUACAAUGGCGCAUACAGAGGGCGGCCAACUUGCGAAAGUGAGCGAAUCCCAAAAAGUGCGUCGUAGUCCGGAUUGGAGUCUGCAACUCGACUCCAUGAAGUCGGAAUCGCUAGUAAUCGUGGAUCAGAAUGCCACGGUGAAUACGUUCCCGGGCCUUGUACACACCGCCCGUCACACCAUGGGAGUGGGCUGCAAAAGAAGU